UCGCUAGAAUUAUAUAUAUUUUCAAGUGAACGGAACUUUGGGUAUUCUCAGUCAAAUCUCUUAAUAUACUUGUUGAAUCUGAAGUUGAAUUCAACAAAUCUGAAUUUUAUAUAGAGUUCCCAAGAGGGGUUCUGGCAACCAUAUCGGUAAUAUUAGCUCAUGGUGCAGCAGCAAUGGGACAGCUUUUCUUCUUUCACGUGAUUCUCAUUAGGAAGGUUAUUACAAAUGGCGCCUUGUAGGACUUCAUCUAUGAUAUUGGUUGUGUUUCAGUUAAGCAUACAAGUUUGGUUACUUCCGCAUUCUGCUUCCCCAGGUCUGUUGUUUUUAUUAGUAUAUGCAUUUCGAACACAAUCUGACAUAGCAGCAUAUUUUUGUACACUGCAUUGAUUUGUAUGGAGGAAUGUCUACGACAUCCAUUGAUUUGAACUGAAUUUUCAGAGUUGCAGAUGGUAACAUCUUUUGUCCAAUAUAGCAAAUAUUCCUUUGUACUAAGUGUGGUUCAACAAAACUGAUCUCAUAAAUAAAUCUUUCUUAAUCUUAGAAA